CUUCCACCAGGACAGACGUCUCUCCAACAUGGUAAAAUGACACAAAAACCUGUGGCUCUAAAGCAUCACAUUCACCUACAAUCUUGAACAGCAUGUGGUGAAGCUCGACCACACAUGAAAAUGAUCAUAAACCAAUGGAGAUUUAACUGAAGAUGUAGCUGAACUCGGGUUAAAUCCAAGUUCAGGAGCAGCUUGGGCCUGACAGCAAAUUACCUGUUGGCUGAUUUCCUGGACUUUGAUUAUUGACUGAGCCCUUUGGACCCCUCACCUGUUUUGGACUCUUGCCUGCCUCCACUCUCCCUAAGCUUGUUCCUCCUUGUUGUUUUUAUCAAAAAAGAUAACGCCUUUUAAACUGAACCUCUGCCCAGUA